CAGGCAUUGACUGAGCUGUGGCAAAUCUUUUCUAUCCAAACGAGAUCACGUAAAUGCAACACAGCAGGUCAAACUUGCUCACUGUUCGAAGACUGAGUUUUGCGCUGAACCAGAAGGCUAAGAUAAAGCAAGGCUUUGCAGAGAGAUGAGAAACAAAUAGUCAUUCAAUUUCCACUGUUGUAAAGAAAACCAGAAGAUGCCACUUAAAGAUGAUUUGCAGCUUGGAAGAAGGAAGGUCUCACAGCCAGAAGUUGAAGCCAGAAGCUUCUGGACCUCCAAUAAAUUUGCUCUAAAUAUUUGGGAACAGAAGCUGUUCAUUUGAAUGAAGGAUGGAGAUGUUUCUGGAAAUAGACACCUGUUAUUGGUCUCCUGACCAGAAUCAAACCAAGAGGACUGAAAUAAUUGCGUCCAUAAAAAGCCUUGUAAAGGGGCCAGUGUGAAUAUGAUAGGAAAUUUUCACUAUCUAUGUAACCAGUGGAAAACUCUAUAAUUAGAUUGUUUUCAUGUUAAUGGAUCUGGUGUAAUGGAUUGUUUUUUAACUCGGUAUGUGCCUCUAAUGACCAUGCUGUUGAAACUUUAGACCUGGGGUUAACGGUGGCCUCUGCAAUAAUGUUUUAUUCCCCCCUACACACGAGACCUCUGCCUCUUUUGCUAUAGGAAUUCUUCUAGCUCAUGUGUAUUAAUUAGCUUUUGUAAUAUUUUAUUGUUUCCUGCCCAGAGCUUUUAUUCAGGAAAAUGUAAUAAAAUAAGCUCAAGAUGUUCAUGUGUUGGAUGAUUUAGUUGAGGACAAUUUACAGUUAUAGCAUUUAAAAUAGAAAGUGAUUCCCAGACUACUUGCUCACUUCAUUAGACUGGAGAGAAAGAGAGAACUAACUAUAAGUUAUACAGAUUUCCCAGACACAUUUAAAAAAAUUUCAUACUACAGAUUCUUUAUAAUAUUAGAAAUCAUGUUCCAAGAAAGGGCUGUUGGAGUGGCUGUUUGAAUGUCUUAAGGCCUACAACACACACCUAAUACUGUUAAAUUCAUAGUGGAGCGAGCUGAUGAAUGCUUUGGGGGUCGGGAGUGUACAGACAUUUAGCAAUUGUAGCCCCUCCCCAAUUUAUGGUAUAAGGUAAAAGGGCCUGCUUUAGGGUUAACUCUGAAUAGAUGACUAAGUCUGAACCAUUGUAACUUUU
rnacentral:lncRNA from 1 species